UCGUAGAGUUAGGGGUGGGGUAACUGGUGGUAGGAGACCUGUGUAGUGGCUUGUACCAGAGCUCGUAAGGUGGGGUACAGGUCACCAUUCCCCAACGUGCUGUUCAGUCUGGGGAUCCAUACGCCCGGAAACUGCAACGUUCAGGCCAGGCAGGUACCAAACAAG